GCCGGGGUUUCUUUACCAGGUACUGUCAUUAUCAUCCCUGGCGAAAGAGCUUUACGACCCUAAGGCCUUCUUCACUCACGCGGCAUGGCUAGAUCAGGCUUUCGCCCAUUGUCUAAGAUUCCCC
rnacentral:rRNA from 1 species